AGAAAAAGACUGCAGUGGUUCGGACAUGUGUGCCGGCGUGAAGAAGAUGUAGACAUUCGGAGAGUUUAUGAGAUGCAAGUGGAGGGGAGACGGAAACGAGGACGCCCAAAGCAUCGGUGGAAGGAUACCAUCAGGAGAGACAUGCAGCUAUGUGGUGUCAAAGAAGAGGAUACCCAGGACAGAGCAGCCUGGAGAAGUCUGAUAGAACUGGGUCUCCGGCAAAGACCCGCUACCCGAUUAGGACACAGCGGAGAAAGGUGACCUAAGGUAGGUUUUUGGUGGUUGUCCAAAUUAAUGAGGGCCCCUUAGAGCAAAAGAUCUAAUCAAGAAUAUACUUGAAGGUUGGUAUUUUGUAGGGUUUUUUAUUAUAAAUUGCUUUCACUGGGGAACCUUUUAUAUCCUUUUGAUAUGCUUCGUUGUACACAUCUAUACAAGAGGAGUAUUGCUGAUUAGUUAUAUCAAACGGACACACUUUAAAUACAAGUACGCCUAAUAGUUCAAUAUGUUUAAAUUUACUGUUGUGAUAAUAAAAGCAGGGUAAGAAGAUCGGAAUUGCAUCGGAAUCAUAGCAGAAGUAAGUGUACAAAUAUUGUAGAGAUCAUUUCUGUACGAAAUGUCUGAUUUGUGUACUAGGCAUUAAACAAAACGAUCAAAUCUAUUUUUGAA